ACUGGCCAAUAUGGUCGAAAGUCAGCUUCCUAGCCAGAAGUUAUGUGGUUAAAUGAUGUGUAUGUUGCCUUCCUUCAAUCAACAUGGAAAAUAUAUUAGUUUCUGGUAAUUCUUACUCCUCUGUAUUUAAUAUGCUCAGGAGUUGGAGUAGAAGGAUUUAUCUACCAACUCCACAGCCCUGCUUUCUCAUAAUGUGUUUUAUUGACAAGUCUUUAGUUUCUGAUUUUAGAAAGAAAAUGUAAAAAUUCUGUUUACAGCUUGUUGUCAGGAGUUUGAUUGGGUCAGUUAACAAAUUGUUAAUUACUACAACUAGAAAGUUUUAUUGGUCAAGAAAAACAGGAUAGUAAUGUUUGUAUUUGAGCUGCACAAUUUAUUGCAUUAUUUGUACUUAUGUCUGUGAUUUGAACAUUUAAUCUCUCAUGGUGUGUCAUAUAUUUCAUGCAAUCAGGUUUUUGCAGACAAGAAAUUGCGGGAAUGGGACAAAGCCAUCGAUGUUAUAAGCCACUCCUUGGUGGAAAACAAAACAUUUAUAGACAAGACAAAAGAGCAAGAGAACAAGGCAGAAGUAGAAUUGGAGCAGCUAAAGAAGGAGUUUGGAGCUGGAGAGAGCAAAAACUGAGCUUUUUGAGACUGAUGACGAUAUCCAGUUCGUCUCAGUGAGACUCUUGCUUUGCACAGGAUAUUAAAAUUACACUUUGACUUGGUUUACUUUCACAUUUUUAUAUGUGUUUUUUCUAGAAAUCCCCACCUCUGGCUGUCCCACCUAGUAGCAAAAACUGCUUGGCAUCAAAUCAGGAAGGCCUUCCAGCAGCCCGCAGUUGCAUCUAUCUAAGAUAAAAAAAAUGACCUGGAGAAGAUAGGGCCCCGACUGUCAAGGAAUGGGCCUCGAAGAAGACACUGAGAAGGGCAAGACUGAGGAACGUUCCCAGCUCUGUGGCUAUCGUUGCCAAACCCCUGAAUCCACCCCCUCUUCCUCUCCUCUCCUCUCCUCUCCUCCCCUCUUCCUCUCCUCCCCUCCUUCUCUCCUCCA